rnacentral:misc_RNA from 1 species
AAAAAUCCUUAUCAACAAUCUCAACCUACCUUUCACGGGCAGAGAUUUUCUCAUUCAAUCCUUUCUUCUUACACAACGGCAAUUAUUGUGAACAAAAAAUCUGCAAAAAUAAUUUCGAAUUGAAAUGCCUAAAAUCAUGAAACAACCAUAAAGAAACCUGGGUUUUGUUUGAAAGAGGACUAUAAAAAGCCAAAAUUAGUUAAUUCUUGAAGCCAUCUUAAUCUUCUCCUUAACACAAAAUCUUAAACAUUUUCUUCAAGUUAAUCUUGUCUUGUUUUUUCUUUUGGAUUUUGUUUGGAUGAUGAGAAAGAUUUGAGAAAGAAAAGAAAAUAAAUUGUUGCACUUAUCUUGCCCGCCACCAUCUUCUUGCUUGGAACCAAUGUAACGGAAAUUCUUCAAGUUUUGAUGGAAUGAUUUGGUUUUAUUUCUGUUUGGAUGGUGAAAAAGGUUGUUGUCUAAGUUCAUUUUCUAUGAGAUUUUAGGACCUGAGUUCUUUCUUGUUGUCUAAGUUCAUUUUCUAUGAGAUUUUAGGACCUGAGUUCUUUC